AUUUUUUUCUUUUAAAACCAUAAAAAUGGUCACUUUUAUUCAAAAUAAUAAUUUAAGAGAAACAAUUCACUAAUUAAAUGUUGUUAAAAUUGCUAUAAAAACACAGAGGUUUAAUUUGUUUAUUUAAUAUUUUUAUCUAAAUUCCCAUUUCGCCUUAGUUCAAUUCCCAUCUGGCCUUAGUAUAUUUUUUAACCUUUUUUACCUGGAAUUCACAGCUAAGGCGAAAUGAGAACACACCGUAUAAAGCUGCGCCCUGCGGAGCACCUGGUUUU
rnacentral:lncRNA from 1 species